rnacentral:rRNA from 1 species
GAUGAACGCUAGCUACAGGCUUAACACAUGCAAGUCGAGGGGAAACGACAUCGAAAGCUUGCUUUUGAUGGGCGUCGACCGGCGCACGGGUGAGUAACGCGUAUCCAACCUGCCCAUCACUUGGGAAUAACCUUGCACAAGUAAGACUAAUACCCAAUGAUAUCCCACGAAGGCAUCGGAAUGGGAUUAAAGAUUUAUCGGUGAUGGAUGGGGAUGCGUCUGAUUAGCUUGUUGGCGGGGUAACGGCCCACCAAGGCAACGAUCAGUAGGGGUUCUGAGAGGAAGGUCCCCCACAUUGGAACUGAGACACGGUCCAAACUCCUACGGGAGGCAGCAGUGAGGAAUAUUGGUCAAUGGGCGAGAGCCUGAACCAGCCAAGUAGCGUGCAGGAAGACGGCCCUAUGGGUUGUAAACUGCUUUUAUAAGGGAAUAAAGUGGGUCACGUGUGACUUUUUGCAUGUACCUUAUGAAUAAGGACCGGCUAAUUCCGUG